CAUACCUAUUCGAAGGGAUAGGGUCGGUUCGGCCGGGUUUUACACAGGUGUUGCAUGGCUGUCGUCAGCUCGUGUCGUGAGAUGUUGGGUUAAGUCCCGCAACGAGCGCAACCCUCAUCCUUAGUUACCAUCAGGUAAUGCUGGGGACUUUAAGGAAACUGCCAGUGAUAAACUGGAGGAAGGUGGGGAUGAUGUCAAGUCAUCAUGGCCCUUAUGGAGUGGGCUACACACGUGCUACAAUGGUGGCUACAAUGGGCUGCAAAGUCGCGAGGCUAAGCCAAUCCCUUAAAAGCCAUCUCAGUUCGGAUUGUACUCUGCAACUCGAGUGCAUGAAGUUGGAAUCGCUAGAAAUCGUGGAUCAGCACGCCACGGUGAAUACGUUCUCGGGUCUUGUACACACUGCCCGUCACGCCAUGGGAAUUGGUUUCACUCGAAGCU
rnacentral:rRNA from 7 species